AGUAAAGAGGCUCCUAAAGGCAUUAUACUUUUGGUUACUUUUUCGAUCUUUUACUGUUAUUAAUUAAACGUUUAAAAAACGUAAAGAAUAUACAACAUGGAACGAUAAAGUGUUCUUCAAAAGUGGAUCUAUACAAUGCCAAAGGAACCUAUAACCAAAAUUUCAUGAUUCUAGCUUUAACGGUUUGGGCUGGGCGAUGAUGAAUCAGUCAGUCAAUCAGUCACGCAAGCCUUUUAUAUAUAGAUUGAGAGAAGGAGAAUGGAUAGUUAGCUGCUGGUUUCAUACCUACAUCCUGUACAAAAAUAUUUUAACAGAUUAAAGUCUACUAAACUCACCUGCAAACAAAUCAUCUGUAGUAACAGUAUUACAUUCGACACCAUUACAACUGG